rnacentral:RNase_P_RNA from 1 species
GUAAAUUGAAUAGUCGCUGGUAAAUUUCGAAAGGAAUUACGAGAGGAAAGUCCGGGCUCCAUAGAGCAAUGAUGCUAGAUAACGUCUAGUGAGGGAGACCUUAAGGAAAGUGCAACAGAAAAUAACCACCUUUAACUUUUGAAUGAAAGAAUAAAGGUAAGGAUGAAAAGGCGAGGUAAGAGCUCACCGCUGGUAUGGUGACAUACUGGGACAGUGUAAACCCCAUCUGGAGCAACACCUAAGUAGAAGAUUAAACUUGCUCGGUGUCUUCUGAUUUGUGUGGCUUGAGGCAUAUAGCAAUAUAUGUCCUAGAUAAAUGACUAUUUUAAAUGACAGAACCCGGCUUAUAGAUUUACUUG